CCUACGGGAGGCAGCAGUGAGGAAUAUUGGUCAAUGGACGAGAGUCUGAACCAGCCAAGUAGCGUGAAGGAUGACUGCCCUAUGGGUUGUAAACUUCUUUUAUAUGGGAAUAAAAUGUUCCACGUGUGGGAUUUUGUAUGUACCAUAUGAAUAAGGAUCGGCUAACUCCGUGCCAGCAGCCGCGGUAAUACGGAGGCUCCGAGCGUUAUCCGGAUUUAUUGGGUUUAAAGGGAGCGUAGGUGGAUUGGUAAGUCAGUUGUGAAAGUUUGCGGCUCAACCGUAAAAUUGCAGUUGAAACUGGCAGUCUUGAGUACAGUAGAGGUGGGCGGAAUUCGUGGUGUAGCGGUGAAAUGCUUAGAUAUCACGAAGAACUCCGAUUGCGAAGGCAGUUCACUGGACUGCAACUGACACUGAGGCUCGAAAGUGUGGGUAUCAAACAGGAUUAGAUACCCCUGUAGUC
rnacentral:rRNA from 1 species